UUCAGUUGUAGCCUUGGCUAAUGUCAAACUCACAGAGAUCUGCCUGCCUUUGCCUCCUGGGUGCUGGAAUGAAAGACCUAUGCCAUCACCCCCAGCGUUUUUUUUUUUUUUUUUUUUUUUUUAAUGCUGGGGAUUGAAUCCAGGCCUUCUUGUAUGCUAGGCAAGCACCCCACCAACUGAACUACAUGUCCAGUUCCCAACAGACAUUUCUGCAGGCUCUUAGUGAAGGUUGGCAGCUUCCACUAGUUUGACAUAAACAAAAAGCAGCCCCCAUGUUCCUGAAAGACAACAUGGGCCAUCUAUGAAUAUCAUCAGGACCAGUAUGUCUGAGGUGCUAUUAGCAAAACUAACAGGACUACACUCCUUAGUGACCUGUAAAACUGAUCAUAGAGAAAAGUAGCUAAAAACAAGUGAAGGGGGAGCUAGAGAGCUGCCCUACUCUUAGUGGUUAAGAGCCCUGAUUGUUCUUGCAGAGAACCCAGGUACGGUUCCCAGCACCCACAUGGUGGCUAACAACUGUUUAAAACUCCAGGUCCAGGGGAUCUGAUGCUUUCUUCUGGCUUCUGCAGGCAUUUCACAACAUGGGUGCCUUUUUCACAGGUAAAAGAAGCAAAUGGCCAGCCAGGAGUGGUGGCCCAUACAUGAAAUUCUGUCACUUAAGAGGCUGAAGCAGGAGAAUGCUGAAUUGGAGGCCAGCCCAGGACUACAUAGAUCCUGUCUCACAACAACAACAACAGCAACAACAGCAACAACAUCCAAACAAAGUUUGUGUGCCGGCCACUGGAGAGAUGGCUCACUCACUGACGCUGGUGAUCCGGUCUGUGCUGGCCACCACCAUCUCGGGUCUUUGCUUCAGGCCCUUUUUCUGCUGUGACCUGCAGUGUCUGCGGGAGAGGACGACGCACCAGGACCCCCAGAAAGACGGAAAUGGUGAGGGAUGCCAGGGAUCGGAAGGAGCUGUUGAAACCCGCUGCCACGGUGACGCGGCUGGG
rnacentral:lncRNA from 1 species